AAUUUAUAUUUCUCUAUAUACGCAUUAUGAGUUGCAUGUUGGGUUAAAUGUGUCAACAAAACGUGACAGAACUUUUUAACAGGUUAAGAAUAUCAUUUAUGAUUCAGCAGGUCAACCCUGAACGUGACAUGAUUAUUUCCCUGUCACAAUCGGGUCGACAUGAUUAUGGCACCAACAUGAUAAGCCUACACCCAAACCCUCUAAUUUCAUGCAGGUUUUGUGUUGUGUCCAAUAUUGCCAACCCUAACGGUUUUUAUCAUUACUUAAGCAAUUGCUCAUCACCUAUUUACCUAAACUCAGGUGCAAAUAUCCAACAAUAGUAAUGUGCGGGUCAAUCACUAGUUUCCAAAAUUUCAUUGGUUUCACCAGCAUUUAAAGGGUUAAGGUAUGGUAACCAUAUCCAAGUAGCCUUAUUUAACACUACUACUUUAGGGUAACCUGAAGAUUUGACAUGAAUAUAUAAUAACAACAACAACAACAACA
rnacentral:misc_RNA from 1 species